CUCUGUCUGAAGUUUUCCUUUACUAGUGAGCAUUUUCCUCAUAUGUGAAAUGGAAUAUGUUCUCCAACUUUAUGGAAGAGGAAAAGAAAUUGUCUUUAACAGGGGCAGGUGAGGAAGAGGCCAGUCUGUGUACAUGACCGCCAGUAGAGAGCUGAAUUUCACGAAGCCAGCAAUGCAAACUUCUUUACCUAACAGAAGAAUUGGUAGCUUUACCCUGAGGUGGUAAAGAAUUAUCUGUUUUCUGAAAGCAACGUACCCUCGCAUUGGCGGUGCAAGCGAGCAGUAGGUGAGCCAGGAAGAAAACAAGUCAGUGUCUCCCUUGAGCCAGGCUGAGAACCAAACGUCCCACCUCCCAUCCCCGCUUAACAACUGGGUGGUGUGGAGGACAGCUGCAGUUAAUAGCAACUAAGACACAUAAAACCACCCAGUGGUUGUAUUGUUGGGUUGAUUAUGCUGAUCUGGGGCCAGAGGUCUGAGCAUCUCUCAGGAGGAUGACCAUAUGCAAUACAGCAAAUACGGGGCAUUUCCUUCUGCCUUCUUUUUGGAGGCAAAUAUUGUUUUCACUCUUUUGCUUUGUUCUGAUUAAUGUUUUGCUCUAUUCAAUAUUCCGUUUUGAUAGGUUUUAUAAUAUUCUGCUUUUGGUUUGAUUUUGCUAUACCUGAUUGAAUGGACAACUAUUGUGAAAAUGAGAUAUACUAUGGUACUUAUUACUGUUAUCCUGGUAUCCUGCUCUGAAGUUCUGUACCAAUUUCAUUGUAUCGUCUUGAUCAGCGCUUUGUUCUGUUAUAUUUUACUACCUUAAAAAAAAAUUAUCUGUUUUCAAGAACCUUCUGAAAAUUGAAAGAGUUUUGGCCCAGGCUGGACACUGUCGCUGGAAAAGCCUCAGCCGGAACCAAGGAGCUCUAUCUCCCCCACCCCUCUACCUCUGGUGCAAACUAGUGCCAAUGGGCUACCUGUGCAUCCCUAAUGCCCCCUCAGGCACCACCCCUAACCUAAGCUACAUAUAGGCCCCCAUCCACGUGUUCCACAGGGAGAGAUCGCCGACCCUGGGGUAGAGAUGCAGCGUCCCAGGGGAUCGGGGGUGUCUCUCCCCGCAUUCUCAAAAUAAAGGUCAUUUAUAUUUCAUACUUCUUAUCUUUUCAGCCGCCACUGGUCUCCCACAGUUCUAUCAUAAUUGGAUUAAAUAAAAUCAAUAAAAAUAAUUUUACUUGUU